UUUAAAAAAUCUCUCUCUCUCUCGAUAGAAACCCUAGGGACCUUUAUUCCUCCUAUCGCAUCCCUCUUCCUCCACCACCACAACCCGCCUCCCUCUUCCUCUACCAUGACAAAGCCAACGACCGGCAAUCAUAUACACUACAACACAUCUCCAAAGAUACAUCCUAAAGCACAAUAGAUUUACCAUAAUCCUCGAAAAUUAAUACUUCAAAACGCACCAAAAUCUGGAAAAAUGAAGAGAAUCACACAAUGUACAGAGGAAGCGAAGAACGGAGGGCGCCGGAACGGAUGGAGUCUCCAGUGAAAACACAAAAACAUCGACGGCAGUCAACGCAUAACGGAAUGAGGACACAGUGAUUAAGAAAUCGGACGCUUUUGGAGCCAGCGAAACACCAAGAGCAGGCUAAGGGGUAGACAACACUAAAGAUAUGACCCUUUGAAUGAGAAGAAGCAACCAAAGAAUGAAGUUUGAUGAGCUUAAAAGAUAAGUUAUUAAUAAUUCAGUAAUAUAGGCUAUAGAAAUUGAAGUAGUAUAUUCAAAAUUCUGAGUGCUUUUGAUUAUGUUUGCAUGAUAUACUUGCUUAAAUCAUGAUUAAUAGACAUUAGUGAAUACAAAUGCAUAUAAAACUUUAAACAUAAAGUUAUGGAAAUGAUUCUAACUCUAGGACUUGUUAAUUGAUACUCCUCUACUGGCUUGCAUCAUUUUUUCAAGUGAAUAAACCGAGUCAAACAAUAAGGAUGUAAUAAGAGGCAAAAUAACUGAAAAAUAAAUAAAAACUUUCAUUAUAGUCUGAAAGGAUAGCUCAACAUAUAAAAUUCUUCAGAUUCUUCUCAUCUUACUAAGUUCACUACAUGGAAAAGAUGCAAAUGGCCAAACAUCAUCCAAAAAGUGCCAAGUUCAGUGACAACAAAAAACACAACUAAAAAAACAUAAGAUGAGGAUGAAAAACACAAAAAAAAAAUCACUUCUGCCUUCCCUCCUAAUUAAGACCGCCAAAGGGAUGAAUAUAUUGCCUACUGUCUGCAAAUUUAUGUAUCUGAAUUUAUGGUUCACACGGCUUGACACUUUUUGAGAUUUUUUUCAGGGACAAAUUGCAAUGGGAAGUAAAUCUUGGAUAACAAAGUAUUAUUUCAUAACUUCAUUAAGACAAAAAUCAUUGGAAACUGAAGAGUGAAUCAGUCCCAGCUUUGGAAGAAUGAAAAAAAUAGAUUAUUGUAAUAGAAUAGUGGUAUUUUAUAUUAAUCCUAUGGAAGGCUAACAUAAUUAGGCUGCAACCCUAUAGUAAAAUUUACUGCCAUACGUGAACAUUCUCCAUUGAGGGAAUUUAUCUAUUCUAUUUAUUUUUAAAACAGGAA